CAAUUUCCGCGAGAUUUGAUAUCGGUUUAGUUCACAGUUCUCCCGGGGCAGCGAGAUGAUUUCUCGAUU
rnacentral:lncRNA from 1 species